UGGGCCUUUAGUUUUAGCCCACCUCUGCUGGGUUCACUAAAGGGGAACCGACGGCUGGGUUGAUGUGAACUCAGAGCCGGUCCCACCUUGGCUCGGCCAGGCACCCCAUCUCCCACCUGGGAAAUGGGGAGCAGUUAGGGCUGGAAUCCUGGGGAAGAGAAGUUCUUUCUCUGUUGGGCUGCUGAUGGGUGCUGAGGCCAUCCCGGGAGUGGCGGUGGAGAGCCCCCCUGAGCAGGACAGCAGCACAGAGGGCAGGCAGCCAAGCCAAGAGGCUGGGAGGGCCGAUCCCUGCUGGUGGCGUCGAGCACCCAGAACCCACAGGACAGACUCCUGCCCGCGGUGCCCUGCUGUCUCGCCUCCUGACCCCCGGGGCUUCCCGGGUGGCCCUGCGUGGCCCUGCGAGCUCCGCCUCAGAGAACUGCAAGUAAUCAACUAUCUUCUCAAUGGCAUCGUCUCUGGGUCCGCUGGCCUUGCUGAACCGCACAUGUUCCCUUGUCACUUUCUCUGUGAAACCUGCCCUCCCAGACCCUUUGCAGACGCUUAGCCUGAACAGAGGAAGAGCAAAGGAAGUGUGCGCCCUGUCACAGCAUCUUCGACAAGACAGCCCUCAGUUCCUAACUCAACUUUCCAGCAAUAAUCCAGUUAGAGAGCUGCUCCCUGAGUCAGAGCCCACUGUGCACCUGAAGCCAGAAGCAUCUUCUCCAGCGGAGGCCGAGCACGUCGCUCCCUGCUCCUGCUCCCCUGCUCCUUAGAAACUGACCCAGGGCCCUUGCUGUGGAACUGAGCUUAGCCUAACGAGGCAGCUCAGAGGCAGGCGCCGGCCAGCCAGCCAGCGCCCAAGCUCACAGAAGAGACGGAGAAAGCCUCAUCAGCAGAGCGUUCCGUCAUCGCAGCUGACUGCUCUCCAGGCCUGAGCUGGGGGAUAUCGAAGUUCGGAGACGCA
rnacentral:lncRNA from 1 species